UACGUAGGGUGCGAGCGUUGUCCGGAAUUAUUGGGCGUAAAGAGCUCGUAGGCGGUUUGUCGCGUCGACUGUGAAAACCUACAGCUUAACUGUGGGCUUGCAGUCGAUACGGGUAGACUUGAGUUCGGUAGGGGAGACUGGAAUUCCUGGUGUAGCGGUGAAAUGCGCAGAUAUCAGGAGGAACACCGGUGGCGAAGGCGGGUCUCUGGGCCGAUACUGACGCUGAGGAGCGAAAGCGUGGGGAGCGAACAGG
rnacentral:rRNA from 1 species